AGAAUGUCACUGAUGCUUAGCACCCGUCCGCUCUCCAUCCUGCCUCUGUGUUCUACAGCAGCUACGCACACACGGUGGUAUCUGUGAGAAGCUCUGUGGACUCAAAGGUUUUCUCCCUGAAAGGCAUAGCCCAGGCCCGCUGAUUCAUCAGAAUCAG
rnacentral:sRNA from 1 species